CAGUCAGUGGCUGGGACAGGAAUAUAUGCCCAAGAGCCACCAUGAACUCCCAGGGGUCUCCAGGCAGGGGCCCUCCAUCCCGUGAGUAGGGUGGGGGAGGAUGGUGGGGUUGCCACAGUCGGGGAACCAAGGGCCUGCCUCUGGGGGCCCUGAAAGCUGCCUGCGGGACCUGGGAUCUGGAGAGCUGCCCGCUGGCCCUGAGGAUGGGCACCCAUCCAAUCUUGGCUUGGGAAGGGGGCUGCAGAGGGGCGGGUGAGGGGUGGCAGGGAUGCAGCCCCACCCUGGCCAGUGCCUCAUCUCCUGCCUCCGCACAGGCACCAAGUCUUUCAACAUGAUGUUCCCGAUGGGCGACAACUCGGAGCUACUGGCUGAGAUUAAGGCAGGCAAGAGCAUGAAGCCGAUGCCGCAGAGCAAGGGGCUGACCACAGUGUUCUCAGGCAGCGGGCAGCCGGCCUUCCAGGUAGGCGGGCCCAGCAGGAGCCUGCGACCCGGCUUCCCCGGCCCUAGGCCACCAGGCGCUCAGCCCCACCGCUUUUCCCUGCAGCCCAAUUUGCCGCUGCCGUCUGUGUCACCUGCACCGUCACCAGUCCGGAGCCCCACACCGCCAGCUGCGGGGUUUCAGCCGCUGCUCAACGGAAGCUUGGUUCCGGUGCCGCCCACUACUCCUGAGCUGGGGGUGCAGCUGGACGUGGAGGCGCUUAUCCCCACGCACGAUGAGCAGGGCCGUCCCAAGCCCGAGUGGAAGCGCCAGGAGGAGGCCCGGCUGGCCAGCAUGCCCGCCUGGAGGCGGGUCCUCCUGCGGAAGAAGCUGGAAGAAGAGAGGUGAGCCGGCGGUCAGGCAGAGGCUGGCCUGGCAGCGUGUCUUGACUGCGCCCCUGAGGUGGAGGUACCAAGUGACACUGUUUCUCCUUCUAGGAAGCAGAAGCGGUGAGUGCAGGGCUGGCCCCAACCUGCCACCCUUACCCCCACCCAAGUCGCAGAGGGUCGUCCCUUCAUCCAGGCCAACUUGAGUGCAUCCUCCUGUCUCUUGGCCCUUGUAGCACAGUCUCCUUCCUCCCUAUAAUAUCCCAGACGGCUGACCCCCAGAAUCUCUCUCUCAUGCUCUGAUAACUUUGUUCCCGGUUUCUCAGUCCCUGCCUCCUAUUAACCUGGCCUUUUCUACCCUUCAGUUAACCUAACCCCAGUAUCAAUCACCUUGAUUGUCUGGCCCUCAGAAUGUACUUUCUGCCCCUAGUAAUCUCACCCAGCCCAGUGCUGUCCAAUAGAAAUAUAAUGAGAGCCACAGAUGUAAUUUAAAAUUUUCUAGUAGCCACAGUGAAAAUGUAGAAGGAUAUAGGUGAGCUUAAUUUUAGUACUGUUUUAUUUGACACAAAAUAUCAAAAAUAUUAUUUUGACACAUAAUCAAUUAUGAAAAUUACUAAUGAGAUGUUUUCUACUCCUCCUGUAAAAGUAAGUCUUUGGCCAGGCAUGGUGGCUUACACAUGUAAUCCCAGCACUUUGAGAGGCCAAGGCAGGGGGACCACUUGAGUCCAGAAGUUUGAGACCAGCCUGGGCAAUGCAGUGAGACCUCAUUCUGAAAAAAAAAAAAAUUUUUUUUCUUUUUUUGAGAUGGGGUUUCACUCUUGUCACCCAGUCUGGAGUGCAGUGGCGAUCUGGGCUCAUGCAACCUCUGCCUCCUGGGUUCAAGUGAUUCUCCUGCCUCAGCCUCCCAAGUAGCUGGGAUUACAAGCAUGUGCCACUGCACCCAGCUAAUUUUGUAUUUUUAGUAGAGAUGGGUUUCACCAUGUUGGCCAAACUGGUCUCAAACUCCUGACCUCAAGUGAUCCACCCGCCUCGGCCUCCCAAAGUUGUGGGAUUAUAGGCAUGAGCCAUCAAGCCUGGUCCU
ensembl:lincRNA